rnacentral:rRNA from 1 species
UACGGAGGGUGCAAGCGUUAUCCGGAUUCACUGGGUUUAAAGGGUGCGUAGGUGGGUUGAUAAGUCAGUGGUGAAAUCCCCGAGCUUAACUUGGGAACUGCCAUUGAUACUAUUGAUCUUGAAUACCGUGGAGGUCAGCGGAAUAUGUCAUGUAGCGGUGAAAUGCUUAGAUAUGACAUAGAACACCAAUUGCGAAGGCAGCU